rnacentral:lncRNA from 1 species
GUUCUUGAGUUCCUGUAAAAGAAUUAACAGUUUUGAAGAUUAAGCGAUCCAGGAUUUUCCGUAUUAUAGCAAAUGUUAGAGGUAGCUUAAAUGUCAUAAACUUUUUACCAGAUCUGUGUUGUCCAUAUUGGUUUUUGUAAGCUGUUAUACUUUCCAUCCUUGUUAUGAGAACAUAUCCUUUUUUUACUGAACACAAAAACAAUUAAGGGACUUAGCAUUAUCAAUUUGCACCAUUUAGAUAAGUGAUUAAGAUUUAAGGAUGUUGUGUACCUUGCAGAAAGGAGUAAUGUGCAUCAUCUCUUUCCUCUGUAGCGAGCAUGUUGUGUACCUUGCAGAAAGGCUUAAAAGAUUAAAUGAAAUCAAAUUGUGUUAUACCGUGCAGAACAGGAGCGUGGAAAACAGAAGUCUUUUAGCAUAGCAUAUGUCUAUGAUUUUGAUUUAGAAAUUAAAAGCUAGGCGUUAAAGAUCAAAGCAGAGCACAUAUAAUCAAGUCUAUACUGGAGCUGUGAAGCAUAGACAUGACACACCAACUAGAGCCC